rnacentral:rRNA from 1 species
UUUAUGGAGAGUUUGAUCCUGGCUCAGAGUGAACGCUGGCGGCGUGCCUAACACAUGCAAGUUGAGCGGGGUUUUGCAGAGUAUCGCAAAAUCUAGCGGCAAACGGGUGAGUAACACAUAGGAAACCUUCAUCAAAACGGGGAAUAUCUCCGAGAAAUCGGAGUCAAUACCGCAUAAGACCCCAGUUCGGCAUCGGACAGAGGUUAAAGUAGCAAUACAUUUUGAUAUGGUCCUGUGGUCUAUCAGCUUGUUGGUAGUGUAACGGACUACCAAGGCUAUGACGGAUAUCCGGCCUGAAAGGGUGAACGGACACACUGGAACUGAGACACGGUCCAGACUCCUACGGGAGGCAGCAGUGGGGAAUUUUGGACAAUGGGGGAAACCCUGAUCCAGCGACGCCGCGU